UUGUGCCUACGGGCGCAGCAGUGAGGAAUAUUGGUCAAUGGCCGAGAGGCUGAACCAGCCAAGUCGCGUGAGGGAUGACGGUCCUAUGGAUUGUAAACCUCUUUUGUCGGGGAGCAAGGCCCGCCACGUGUGGCGGGAAGGAGAGUACCCGAAGAAAAAGCAUCGGCUAACUCCGUGCCAGCAGCCGCGGUAAUACGGAGGAUGCGAGCGUUAUCCGGAUUUAUUGGGUUUAAAGGGUGCGUAGGCGGAAGGUUAAGUCAGCGGUCAAAUGUCGGUGCUCAACACCGGCCUGCCGGUGAAACUGG
rnacentral:rRNA from 1 species